GCCCCCAUCGUCUAGAGGCCUAGGACGUCGCCCUUUCACGGCGGUAACACGGGUUCGAAUCCCGUUGGGGGUG
rnacentral:tRNA from 1 species